rnacentral:rRNA from 1 species
UACGUAGGGGGCAAGCGUUAUCCGGAUUUACUGGGUGUAAAGGGAGCGUAGACGGCGCUGCAAGUCCGGAGUGAAAGCCCAUGGCUUAACCAUGGUACUGCUCUGGAAACUGUGGAGCUUGAGUGCGGGAGGGGCAGGCGGAAUUCGUGGUGUAGCGGUGAAAUGCUUAGAUAUCACGAAGAACCCCGAUUGCGAAGGCAGCCUGCCGCAGCGUUACUGACGCUGAAGCUCGAAAGCGCGGGUAUCGAACAGG